GCCUCCCUCCGCGCCAUCAGACUCCUACGGGGCGAGCGAGUGGGGAAGUAUUGGACGAAUGGGCGGCAAGCCUGAUCCAGCAAUGCCGCGUGUGUGAGAAGGCCUUCGGGUUGUAAGCACUUUAUCAGGAGCGAAUACUACCGGUUAAUAACCGGUGGGGCCGACGGUACCUGAGGAAUAAACACCGGCUAACUUCGUGCCAGCAGCCGCGGUAAUUC
rnacentral:rRNA from 1 species